rnacentral:rRNA from 1 species
CUUUUGGAGCGGCCGAUGUCUGAUUAGCUAGUUGGUGAGGUAAAGGCUUACCAAGGCUUCGAUCAGUAGCUGGUCUGAGAGGACGACCAGCCACACUGGGACUGAGACACGGCCCAGACUCCUACGGGAGGCAGCAGUGGGGAAUUUUGGACAAUGGGGGAAACCCUGAUCCAGCCAUGCCGCGUGAGUGAAGAAGGCCUUCGGGUUGUAAAGCUCUUUCAGCCGGAACGAAACGGUCACGGCUAAUACCCGUGACUACUGACGGUACCGGAAGAAGAAGCACCGGCUAACUACGUGCCAGCAGCCGCGGUAAUACGUAGGGUGCGAGCGUUAAUCGGAAUUACUGGGCGUAAAGCGUGCGCAGGCGGUUUUGUAAGUCAGAUGUGAAAUCCCCGGGCUCAACCUGGGAACUGCGUUUGAAACUACAAAGCUAGA